ACGGGUGAGUAACGCGUGGGAAUCUACCCAACUCUACGGAAUAACUCAGGGAAACUUGUGCUAAUACCGUAUACGCCCUUCGGGGGAAAGAUUUAUCGGAGUUGGAUGAGCCCGCGUUGGAUUAGCUAGUUGGUGGGGUUAAGGCCUACCAAGGCGACGAUCCAUAGCUGGUCUGAGAGGAUGAUCAGCCACAUUGGGACUGAGACACGGCCCAAACUCCUACGGGAGGCAGCAGUGGGGAAUAUUGGACAAUGGGCGCAAGCCUGAUCCAGCCAUGCCGCGUGUGUGAUGAAGGCCUUAGGGUUGUAAAGCACUUUCACCGGAGAAGAUAAUGACGGUAUCCGGAGAAGAAGCCCCGGCUAACUUCGUGCCAGCAGCCGCGGUAAUACGAAGGGGGCUAGCGUUGUUCGGAAUUACUGGGCGUAAAGCGCACGUAGGCGGAUCGAUCAGUCAGGGGUGAAAUCCCAGAGCUCAACUCUGGAACUGCCUUUGAUACUGUCGGUCUAGAGUAUGGAAGAGGUGAGUGGAAUCCCGAGUGUAGAGGUGAAAUUCGUAGA
rnacentral:rRNA from 1 species